UGAAUUAUAAUCCUUCCUUUUAUCAGGAGCUUCAUAAAUAAAGGCAGAAAUAAUAUAAAAGCCAAAAAUAUUCCGAGAUGUCAAGAAUGGAAGACAGUUGUUUUAAAAAUAAUUAUUAUUACAUAUAGCUUUUGCAAGAUGUCAGGCACUAUUUCAAACGGUUUAUGCAUCUUAAAUAAUUAUCACAACAAAGCUGGGAGUAUACAAAAAGUAGAAUACAAACCUAUUGUAUCCCAGUUGUACAGAUGAAGAACUGGGAAACAGAAAGAUUAAUAAUUUCUUUAAGGUCUCACAGACAAUAAAUAGACCCAGGUAGUCUGGCUUCACAAUCCAGACUCUUAACAAUAUGCUUUAUUUUCUUUGGUCUACUUUAAACGGUAUAUGUUAAAAAAAUAAUUUGAUAUAAAAAAGACAAGUUUAAUAAUACUAAAAAGCUACGUCAGAGAAAAACAACAAUAUCUUACACAUCGUACUCUACUUUGGAUAUAUACUGGGCAUAUAUGUAUACACAUACCUAUAAGAAUGUGUCUGUGUGUGUAUUAUAUGUACACACAGAGAGAGAGAGAGGAGAGACAGAGACAGAGAGAGGAAAAAGUCUACAAUGCUGAUAAAGGGAGUUUGUCUUUCUUUUCAAUAUUGUAAUUCCUAUGUUAAGAAUGUAUCUAUGUAUCUCUCAUAAAAUUGUGAAGAAUUAAAGUAAAAUUAAAUUAAAGUAAAACAGAGCUGGAGUCCUUUUCCCAAAACAGAGGACAGAUGAGAAAACACCUUCUACAUUUUUUCCAAACUAACUAUAAACUACUUAAGGGUCCUGCCUACCCACACCUUCCUUUUAGACCUUGUCUCUCACCACUGCCCCUGGCUAAUCAAAUCAGACACUGUUUUUCAAACAUGCUGCAUUUCCCAAAUCUAGACUUCCACUUAGGCAGGCUCUUCUGUUUAUCAAAACUGCUUUCUCUUUCCAACACACUUAAGUCCAUUUUGAUGAAAGCCAGCCCUUGCUCCAAGGCCCAUCUUGAAUGCUAGCUCUUCAGAAAAGCCCCCAAUGGGUAGUGCUAAGCAUUCUUCUUUCAAGUCGUCAAGGCUUUCCAAACACUUGGAUAUACUAAGAACUAUCCAUGUCCUUACAUCCAUAAUCACACAAGCACAGGCUUCUGUGUUCAACGACUCACAAGACCUGGUUGGAGGUUGGAGUGGGAAUGCAUAGGUCAACAUUUACUCAGCAAGAAUAUGCCCCAGAAAGUCUAUAUACCACCCCGUAAGAUGUAUUCAGGCUCAGAGAGGGUAGGUAACUUGU
rnacentral:lncRNA from 1 species